UACGUAGGGUGCAGGCGUUAAUCGGAAUUACUGGGCGUAAAGCGUGCGCAGGCGGUCUGCUAAGAGAGGUGUGAAAUCCCCGGGCUUAACCUGGGAACUGCGCUUCUAACUGGCAGGCUUGAGUGUGGCAGAGGGGGGUGGAAUUCCACGUGUAGCAGUGAAAUGCGUAGAUAUCUGGAGGAACACCGGUGGCGAAGGCGGCAUCCUGGACCGACACUGACGCUGAGGAGCGAAAGCCAGGGGAGCAAACGGG
rnacentral:rRNA from 1 species